GCCCGCCUAGCUCAAUCGGAUAGAGCGUCAGACUUUUAAGAAAGGGCAAUCUGAAGGCUGCGAGUUCGACCCUCGCGGUGGGCU